CCUACCACAUACCCUACAUUCUCAUCUUUUCCUCCACUCUUCUGUUUUCCAGAGCAACCUCCCUUCCUCUCCAAACUCCAGCAAAGUGCUCUGCUAGGGCACGACUUCCGUUCGUCUCCGAGCCAUCAAAAGACCUUCUUUUCUUCCAGUUUCAGCCACUGUCUUAGUUCUUGGAGCUGCUGUGCUACAUAGUUAGGAUCCGCUUGCUUUUAGUGCUCAAAACAAAGAUGGGAAUACUUCUGGAGGUAGGCCUGAUGGUGGUAGCGGUGCAGCCUAGUGGGCCCGUUGUUAUGGUUUUUGAAGGUGUCCUAUGGCCCUAGUGCCUUGUAGUUCCAUGCUCCUAGGGCAUUCCUUUUGCAUAACUUCUAAACCUUAGAAUUGUUUUGUUUAUGGCAUGGUUGUAUGCCCAAAUUUCUCUCUAAGUACUCCUAUGGAUGACUGUUAAAGUACACUCUUGAACUCCGUUUUCUUUUGUUCGCGUUGCCCUUGAAAUAUUAUAACUGCGCGACGUUUUGUUUAUUGGAUUA